CAGUACAUAGCUCAGUGGUAGAGCACUUGCCUACCGUGCAUGAAGCCCUAGAUUUAAUCCCUAAUAUUCUCU
rnacentral:tRNA from 1 species